UACGUAGGGUGCAGGCGUUAAUCGGAAUUACUGGGCGUAAAGCGUGCGCAGGCGGUUUCUUAAGUCAGAUGUGAAAGCCCCGGGCUUAACCUGGGACUGCGUUUGAAACUGGGAGACUUGAGUGUGGCAGGAGGGGGGUGGAAUUCCACGUGUAGCAGUGAAAUGCGUAGAUAUGUGGAGGAACACCGAUGGCGAAGGCAGCCCCCUGGGUUAACACUGACGCUCAUGCACGAAAGCGUGGGGAGCAAACAGG
rnacentral:rRNA from 1 species